rnacentral:rRNA from 1 species
UGAGUAUGCUGUAAAAUGGAAUUAUGCGGUUGAAGAUAGGAAGAUCAAUUUCUAAGGUUUUAUGAUCUGAUAUCGAUAGUGAACAGUAGUGUGAACAAAAGGUGAAAAGAAACAACAAUUAUACCGAUCUGUUAAGACGGAGUUAAAAGACCCUGAAACUUAAUGUUUAAACUGUUAGAGCUUUAGCAAUAGCGUACCUUUUGCAUAAUGGGCUAGUGAGUUAAUAGUAGAAGCAAGCUUAACACCUAAGUAGGCGCAGUGAAACCAUUUAAAGUUUCUGCUAUUAGACCCGAAACUAGUCGAUCUAAUUAUGAACAGGCCGAAGGUAUUACUGGAGGGCCGAACUCGUGAAUGUUGCAAAAUUCUGAGAAGAUUUGUAAUUAGGGGUGAAAGGCCAAUCAAGGCUAGUGAUAGCUGGUUCUCCGCGAAAAUUAUUUUAGUAGUACGGAAAAGACUAGCAGGUUAAGGUAAAGUAAUCUUGGAACAUUGCAAUAGAAGAUUGCGCAAAGUUUUUAGAAACUCUAAAUGUAGCUUGCUCUAUUUUUCUAGCCAGACGUAAUCGCGCGAAGGUGAUACGUCGAGAGGGAAACAGCCCAGAUCACGCGUUAAGGUGUUUAAUAACUAUUAAUUUGAAAGAAGUAAAUUUGAUACGUUGCUUAGGGGAUAGGCUUGGAAGCAGCCAUUCAUUAAAAAAAGAGUAACAGCUUACUAAGCUAACAUUUCAUAGUGAUUAAAGAUGAAAAAGUCAGAUUUGUUUCGAUAAUGUAGAGACAAUAAAGUAGUUAACCGAAACGGUGAAAGCAUAAAGCUUGGUAGCGGAGUGUUUCGUAGCUCGUUGAAGAUAAGUUGUUAAAUUUAUUCGAGAGAUCGAAAUCAAUAAUACUAGCAUGAGUAACGUUAAAUAGUGUGUAAUUCACUAUCGCCGUAAGUCCUAAAGUUUCAAUUAAAGGGAAAUCCUAGUUGAGUGAACCGGUCCCUAAAAAAUAGACGAAAGUCGUAAGUUUGAAGGGUAGUCAAAACGAUUUAACUUUACCUUCUGGAGUUAUCGGAAAGGUGUGAGCGACAAACGCACACCGUUCUAAACACAGAAGCUAGAAAAAAAGUUACGCCCUAUGCGUAGUGUAGAUAGCUUAGCUAGGUAGCCACAGGCCUUUAAACGAACACCCCGUAAGGGUUAAUAUUUAAGUACUUCAAGCUACCGCAGGUUAUCUUUCCUUAGGGAUUUAAUCUCUAAAUGGUGCACUCGCAUAGGGGUUAGCUAGGGGGCGCUCGCUUUUCUACAAACGAGUUUAACCAAAGACGAUGUGCACUUUUAGCGCACACUUAAGUCGGCUUAGGUUAAGGCCCCUUAGCGGACCGUAUGAAAUCUGACACUGGUGGACGGGUAGAAUAUACUAAGGCGAUGGAAGAAUGUAGUUGAAGGAACUCGGCAAAUUGACUCUGUAACUUCGGGAUAAGGAGGACACCGGCGUGU